rnacentral:rRNA from 1 species
GAUGAACGCUAGCGGCAGGCCUAACACAUGCAAGUCGAGGGAGAAGCCCUUUCGGGGGCAGAAACCGGCGCACGGGUGCGUAACGCGUAUGCAACCUACCUUUCACAGGGGGAUAGCCCGAAGAAAUUUGGAUUAAUACCCCAUAAUAUUAUUGGAUGGCAUCAUUUGAUAAUUAAAACUGCGGUGGUGAAAGAUGGGCAUGCGUCCUAUUAGCUAGUUGGAGUGGUAACGGCACCCCAAGGCUACGAUAGGUAGGGGUCCUGAGAGGGAGAUCCCCCACCUGGGAAAUGAAAAAGGACCAAACAUCUACCGGGGGGGAGAAGGGAGGAAAAGGGGGAAAGGGGGGGAAGACUGAACCAGCCAGGCCGGGGGCAGGAAGAAGGCCUUGUGGGGUUUAAAUUGCUUUUAUGUGGGAAGAAUAAGGCGUACGUGUACGUUAAGGGCGGGACCAAAGGAAUAAGCAGGGGAGAACCCCGG